rnacentral:lncRNA from 1 species
GGCAUAGCUGGUGUACUCGGUUACAUUUGUAUCAAAUGGUAUCAGAUUGUGCCCUGCAGUUUUUACUGCAUUUUGUAGCUCAGCUUCAUCAGUCUUGUCGGAAUCAAUGCUCAAGAUUACAUUUUCCCGACAUACGAAGUAGAAUUGAGGUGCAUUGUUCUUGUAUCCAGCAACUCGAAGCACAUCACCCACUCUGUAUCUAUAGAGUCCUGAAAUGGCACAAAUCCAAGCAAAAUAAUCAUUAGCAGACAUGUUGAACCGACAAAUUGUAAAAAAGAAACGAGUCGAGCAUUUUGUUUGGCAUUUGAAAGUACCUGAAUAUGUGGUAACAACAAGCUCGUACUCCUGGCCAAUCUGGACAUCAAUCAAAUCAACUAAUUGAUUUUGUUCUUUCUCAUUAAGCAGCUUAGACUUGGAGAUAGAAUUAAUGACUCCAUUGUCUCUGUGAAUUGGUGCGAACUCAAAAUAGCACAUGGUGGGAAUAAGGGUGUAAGAGACUUCACUGGGCUUACAAAAGGGGUUCAAGUUGAUUCCAAAGUAGCAUUCUGAGGAACCAUACAUGGUAGAGACAAGAGGGAGGCCAUUGCUGUAAUAAUCAAGGGUAGGUAUAUACUGUGACAUGCUUCCGGUUACAACAACAGCCACAUACUUUGUGUUUGGCCACAACCUAGCGAUGAUCCCUUGCCAUGAAUCUCUACUGCAUUCAGCCUCGAUGAAAUCAGCUAACUCUGGGUCAGGUUUGAGGAUUUUCAUCACCGACUCUCUCACUGACUGAUCUGUAAUUUGGGUGUUAAGGGUUCCCAUUCGAAUAUCGUUACAAAGUAGAGACCAGUGCUUUUCUAGGAACCGGAUGGCACGGAUGAAGCUGGAUGCAAAGGGUGAGCCAACGCUGAUGACUUCUUUGCAUUGGUAGAGACCACAAAGCAUUUGGGAGUACAUGUUUUGGUAAGAGUCUGGGCAGAGAGUGGUUUCAGCUGGACUAGUGUAGUUUGCAUAGGGGCUAAAACGGUUGUUGUUGAAAUAAGGACUCUUGCACAUACUUGUUAAAACAGGGCGAGCUGUUAAUCCUCCUGGGGUCUUGGCUUCGGACUUUAUGGACCAGAAAUACAUUCCUUUGCCCUUUUCCAAAUCUGGAACAAAUUGGCUUAUCACAGACAUCCCAAGGCCGCGAAGCUGAAAUCUCUUCCCAAUCUCUUCUGGAAUUGUUGGCAUCAAUUUUCUCUCCCCUCCGGACGUCCCAGAACUGCACAUAAAGAUUGUGCUUCAGCUUAAAUUAAAGAUCUUAAUGAGAUACAGAGAAUGUGAAUUGUGUACUUUAUAAUAGUACACUAUUGAGAUGGAGAUGCACAUUUCGAAAGGACAAACCUUGUCAAGAAUUCAGAGAUGGGUUGGGAGCAGAAGAUCGGAGAUUUAUCACCAUUGGCUAUACGGUUAAUAUCAUGCUGAAUAUCUUUGUAGGUGAUGACAGGCAUGACUUUCUUGAACGUCUCUCUAUCAGUGUGACCAUUGAGAUCAUGGCGCUGCAAGUACUCAACAUUGGCAUUUCGAGAGAGGAUUUCAGCAAGAACUCUCUUUUGGACCUCAUCAACGUUGAUCGUUACCUCUUCAAUGAAUUGAAGAGUCUUCUUGUUUUCCUCCACUAUACUUCCCUCAGUGGCCUUCAUCGGGCUCUUUGAUGCCUCAGGUAUGGUUCUUUCCAUAUUAAUAAAGACGUGGCUGAGUAAAAAAAAUUGUUACUAGGUGAACAAAAUGUAUAUAUAGAGGCAUUUUGGGAGAUUAAAUCCCGAUAGAGAUGAGUGUAUUGACUAUAGGUUCAACUGAAUCCAGUAUUUACUCAUAAAUAUAUCAAGUCCGUCCUUUUUGAACUUCGUCUCUGAUAGUACAAAAAUAUGUAUCACUACAUAUACAUUUUCUUUUUGAUAAUUGUGAUCUGGCUCUGGAUCAAAAGUAACCUAAAAAUCUGUGCCCAUAAGUCUCAAAUAUCUUGUUGUCUUUUUGUUUAUUCUCAGGUACAACUGGAUUCUGAAAUGUGAACUAUAAGUUAAUUAAUAUAAAAUUAAUUUAUUUAGCAGAUUCGACUUCGUGAUGCGAUGUGCUCAUACAUCCACGCGUUGUGCUCUUACCAGUAGACUAAUGCCUUAGGCAUUAGAAGUAUGUUAUCAUUUACAGAAAGUUUCUGUUUUUUUCUUCUUUCUGAAAUGCUUUUUGAGCAGAGAAAGAUAGAGGGAUGAACCUAUAUUAUCCACCAAGUUUCUAACCGUACGUCAUUGACCCUCGAAAUUUUUUCGAUUAUCAAAAAGAAAAGAAAUGUACAAAUUAACAAAGAAUAUAAAACAGCAUGGCCAGAUCAUUACUGAAUUGCAGAAAGUUGCAAUAAUAAUAAUAAUAAUAUUUCCCAUCCGUCUGACAUGUUUUUUUAAAAAAAUAUACAUGUUAAGUUAUGACAAAAGAUAUGGUCAGACAAUCAUUUACAUGUGUUUCAUGUCAUCAUGUGUUUAACUUUAUUUUUCCCCUUCAAAUUUCAUGUGGAACUUUUUUUUUUUUUCUAAACCUGGUGAUCGGUACCAAUAUUGGGGUACCUAUAUUGGAGCUUGACAAAAACCAGAUUCGCGAUUUGCAGGCCCAAUUUUUUGGGGUGGCGCUCCCAACAAUUCCCUUCUAGGGAUCAAACCCGAGACUUCUGAUUUAACUUAAACUUCACAUUUCACCUUAACGACAAAUAUUUAUUAGACACACAAAUUUUAUCGCAUGUUUCAGAUAAAAUAUUAUUUUGUUAAUGGUAGCUAGUGUGGUGUAUUAGUUGAGUGGGUUAACUGCUCUACAAGUUGUUAGUAUUAGAUUAGUGAUGAUUAGUUAAAUGGUUAGUACAGCUAUUGAAAUCUCAGCUGUUAAGUUUUCUUCCUUGUAUGUACCAUUGCAAAGUCUGUUCAAUUCAAAGAGAAAAAAAGGUUGGUAAAUCUCUAUACUUAUUUCUUGGUUAAAGAACAUAUUUAUAUAUUAUGCUUUUCUUAAACUCUGUGUUCAAUCAAAUUAAGACACUUUUGUGAAACUUGACAAAAGAGAUUGCUCGAAUUGUAAGCACCGUCUUAAAAUUGGUGGACUCUAAUUGGAUUUAAGUAGUAGGCCCAAGUUAGAUAGAAACGGGACCCAAAAAUACAAAUUAAUUUCAUAUUUCUUCUGUAUUUGCUGGCGAAAUACGUGAUCUUGCUUUUCUCCUUUUCCGGCGAACUAAUGUCUGUUCAUUUUUCCGGCGAAAUUAAGUUUGUAAGUUCCUUUUCACGAGUUAUGGAUUUUGUUUCAACUCUUUUUGCUAACUUUUCUGCAUAAAGAAACCAUUAAAUUCAAUUUUUACGAUUAAUUUAAUGAUUUUAUCAAGUUAAAAUGCAUCAUUAUCUGUUUAUCAUGUUAACAAAUUUUCUGACAAUUUUUUUUAUCGGAACAAUUAAGACCAUAAAAGAUGGAACUUUCAUGAUUUCAUUGAUCAUUGAAGUUGAAAGUUUGGCAAGGCUAGAAUCUUUGAACCGUAGUUUCUUGUCCUUAGAUUUCUUUUACUAUAUGUUGAUUCCUUGUAGCUCGAUAAUCGUAUUAUUUAUUACUAUGUGCUGUUUUUGUAUUAUGUGUUGCCUCUUAGGUAGGGUAAGGUCUGCGUACACUCUACCGUCUCUAGCCUCACUUUGUGGGAUUACACUAGGUAUGUUGUUGUUGCUAGUAGCUUUUAACUGCACCAAGUAGAAAAUUAAAGUUUGGGUACUGAAAAUCGAUCGGUUUUGGUGAUCAAUAAAGUGGGUUUAGAACUAUGAGGUCUUAGGAUUCAUAGAGUUAUUCGAUAUGUUUGAGGUGCGGACAAGUUGGUACGGACUCCACGGUUAUUAAUUAAAAAACAUUUAUUGCAUAUUUUUCUUGUUUCAACCUCCAUCAAGAAGGUGUUUGUGACAUUGUUGCAUAUAUUGGUGGGAGUGCAAUGCAUGAAAUCCUUAGUGUGGAGAAGGAUUUUUGUCUUUUUCCGAGUUUGUUUCUACAAUCUAAACUUGGUGGCAUGAAAAGAAUGCUACUUUUAUUUUCCUUUUGUUUCCUAAAAAUAUCAGAUUCAAAACAUUCUUGACAACUAUGAUUUUGACUUGCUGAUAUUAGUACAUCAUUUUCGUGGCAAUUUUGAGAAGGCUAGAGCUUAACUGAAUCUUAAUUCUUGAUGUACUGCUGAUAUUUCCUGUGUUUUAGGAUCUGAGAGAUGCGCAGAACCUUGUCAUAUCUGAAGGGUUUAAUCAUCUAAUCCUUUCGAAUCAAGCACUUGCAAUUGCAUCGUAAGUUUUCCGAAAAUGGCAUCUGACUACAAAGGUUUGUGUUCACCUUCCAUCUUGUUCUUCUUUCAAUUGUUAUGGAUGAUAUGAUGACAUUUUUUCCUCUUGCAUGUAAUAUCUUACCUCACAGGAAAAGCUGUUGUUUUUAUGGGUGUAAGCGGAGCUGGAAAAUCGUAAGGUUUCAAGUUACUUACUAAUUUGGUUUAACCAAAAGAAUUGUAUAGGUCAUUGAUCAGUUUCUAACUGCUUGUAUAGUCAAACUAGAUCUUAACAAAGAAUUUCAAGAUUGUAGAAGCAAAGAUAUUGUUGGAAUGUAUGCGUCCACCUAUGUAGAUGGGACUAGGUCCUCAACACAGUUAUAGUGAUAAACAAUAAAGAACAAAUGCUGAAAGUAAAGAUUGACAAUCAAUUUUACGUGGAAACUUCCUUGCUCAAGGGAGUAAAACCACGACCUGUUCUCAACAGGACUUUUCAAAUUGCUUCCACUAAUCUUCUUCAAGCAAAAGUAAAAGCCAGUUUACAAAAUGAGAUUAACCUGCUAAUCUCCACACUAAGCAAUACCUCCUAUCACUUAGCUGAGCCAGAGCAGAUACAACACUGCCCACUAUACUAAUCCUAACCGAUUAAUAUAGCCUUUUAGAGUAAGAAACUAAGUUACCCUUAACCUAGUUCUUGCAAUGAUUCACACAAGUUUGAAACAUUUCUUUCACAGAUGAAACGAAUCCUACAAUAUAAGAACUAUUAUAAGCAAAAAAAAACUACAGCUAGUACAGAAAGCAAUAGAAACACUUCUAUCAGGUCCCUUGCUAUUUUUGAAGCUUGAAAAUAUCUCUCUUUGAAUGAAUGAUAAAUAAUGUUGUUUGUUGUUUGAUAUAAACCAUGAAGAAUUAUUAUCCAAUGUACAAACAAUCUCGUCGCUUCUGAUUGGUGAAGUACUCUGCAGCUUCACCAACUUUCUGACGCGGACAGCUUUACAGUUGUUCAACACUUUGACACUGGACGAGUAUUCAUACUCUGCAGAGGCCCAAUGGAUUUGUCAGAGGCACGCCCCUGGCGGUAGACGCUAUUUAGAGAUUCUUCAAUGGUGAGGCAACAAUCUUCAAAGACAGAAGGAGGAAUUUGGGUAGAGCCAUUCACAUUGAGCUCCCAGAAUAGGACAUAGUGGUCUGGAAUGGUGGCGGUAUCGGCAUAGCUGGUGUACUCGGCUACAUUUGCAUCAAAUGGCAUCAGAUUGUGCACUGCAUAUUUUACUGCAUUUUGUAGCUCAGCUUCAUCAGUCUUGUCGGAAUCAAUGCUCAAGAUUACAUUUUCCCGACAUACAAAGUAGAAUUGAGGUGCAUUGUUCUUGUAUCCAGCAACUCGAAGCACAUCACCCACCCUGUAUCUAUAGAGUCCUGAAAUGGCAUAAGUCCAAGCAAAAUAAUCAUUAGCAGACAUGUUGGACAGACAAAUUGUAAAAAAG